UACUCUCAUAAGAUUCAUUUG
rnacentral:piRNA from 1 species